rnacentral:rRNA from 1 species
UCAAGCGAAUAAGCGCACACGGUGGAUGCCUUGGCGGUCAGAGGCGAUGAAGGACGUGGCAGCCUGCGAAAAGUAUCGGGGAGCUGGCAACAAGCUUUGAUCCGGUAAUGUCCGAAUGGGGAAACCCACCCGCUUGCGGGUAUCCUGCAGUGAAUACAUAGCUGCUGGAAGCGAACCUGGUGAACUGAAAUAUCUAAGUAACCAGAGGAAAAGAAAUCAACCGAGAUUCCGUAAGUAGCGACGAGCGAACGCGGACUAGCCCUUAAGCUGAUUUGGUUCUAGGAAAACGCUCUGGAAAGAGCGGCCAUAGAAGGUGAUAGCCCUGUAUCUGAAAGGGCCAUUUCAGUGAAGACGAGUAGGGCGGGGCACGUGAAACCCUGUCUGAACAUGGGGGGACCAUCCUCCAAGGCUAAAUACUACUGACCGACCGAUAGUGAACCAGUACCGUGAGGGAAAGGCGAAAAGAACCCCGGAGAGGGGAGUGAAAUAGAACCUGAAACCGUGUGCGUACAAGCAGUAGGAGCUCCGCAAGGAGUGACUGCGUACCUUUUGUAUAAUGGGUCAGCGACUUACUGUUCGUGGCAAGCUUAACCGUAUAGGGGAGGCGAAGGGAAACCGAGUCUGAUAAGGGCGCAUAGUCGCGGGCAGUAGACCCGAAACCGGGUGAUCUAGUCAUGCCCAGGGUGAAGGUGCGGUAACACGCACUGGAGGCCCGAACCCACUCCCGUUGCAAAGGUAGGGGAUGAGGUGUGAUUAGGAGUGAAAAGCUAAUCGAACCCGGAGAUAGCUGGUUCUCCUCGAAAGCUAUUUAGGUAGCGCCUCAUAUGUAUCCUCUCGGGGGUAGAGCACUGUUAUGGCUAGGGGGUCAUCGCGACUUACCAAACCAUUGCAAACUCCGAAUACCGAGACGGACUGUAUGGGAGACACACGGCGGGUGCUAACGUCCGUCGUGAAAAGGGAAACAACCCAGACCCACAGCUAAGGUCCCAAAUUCACUGCUAAGUGGAAAACCAUGUGGAAAGGCACAGACAGCCAGGAGGUUGGCUUAGAAGCAGCCACCCUUUAAAGAAAGCGUAAUAGCUCACUGGUCGAGUCGGUCUGCGGGGAAGAUUUAACGGGGCUAAGCAGUGAACCGAAGCUUGGGGUGCAUAACUUUGUUAUGCGCGGUAGAGGAGCGUUCCGUAAGCCGUUGAAGGUGGAUUGAGAAGUCUGCUGGAGGUAUCGGAAGUGCGAAUGCUGACAUGAGUAACGAUAAUGCGGGUGAAAAACCCGCACGCCGAAAGCCCAAGGUUUCCUUGCGCAACGUUAAUCGGCGCAGGGUGAGUCGGCCCCUAAGGCGAGGACGAAAGUCGUAGUCGAUGGGAAGCAGGUUAAUAUUCCUGCACCUCGCGUAAGUGCGAUGGAGGGACGGAGAAGGUUAGGUGUACCAGGCGUUGGUUGUCCUGGGGAAAGGCGGUAGGUUUGGAUCUUUGGCAAAUCCGGGAUCCUUCAAGACCGAGCACCGAGACGAGCCUUUAUGGCAAAGUCACUGAUACCACGCUUCCAGGAAAAGCUCCUAAGCUUCAGCUUACGCAGACCGUACCGUAAACCGACACAGGUGGGUAGGAUGAGAAUUCUCAGGCGCUUGAGAGAACUCGGGUGAAGGAACUAGGCAACAUGGCACCGUAACUUCGGGAGAAGGUGCACCCUUUUUGGUGGCUCGUGCGAGCUAUAGCUGAAGAGGGUCGCAGUAACCAGGCCGCUGCGACUGUUUAUCAAAAACACAGCACUCUGCAAACACGAAAGUGGACGUAUAGGGUGUGACGCCUGCCCGGUGCUGGAAGGUUAAUUGAUGGGGUCAGCCGCAAGGCGAAGCUCUUGAUCGAAGCCCCAGUAAACGGCGGCCGUAACUAUAACGGUCCUAAGGUAGCGAAAUUCCUUGUCGGGUAAGUUCCGACCUGCACGAAUGGCGUAACGACAGCGGCGCUGUCUCCACCCGAGACUCAGUGAAAUUGAAAUCGCUGUGAAGAUGCAGCGUUCCCGUGGCAAGACGGAAAGACCCCGUGAACCUUUACUAUAGCUUUACACUGAACGUUGAGUUCGUCUGUGUAGGAUAGGUGGGAGGCUAUGAAACUGUGGCGCUAGCUGCAGUGGAGCCAUCCUUGAAAUACCACCCUGUCGUGCUUGACGUUCUAACCUGGGCCCAUUAUCUGGGUCGGGGACCGUGUAUGGUGGGUAGUUUGACUGGGGCGGUCUCCUCCUAAAGAGUAACGGAGGAGCUCGAAGGUACGCUCAGCGCGGUCGGACAUCGCGCACUGUGUGCAAAGGCAUAAGCGUGCUUGACUGCAAGAUCGACGGAUCAAGCAGGUAGGAAACUAGGACUUAGUGAUCCGGUGGUUCUGUAUGGAAGGGCCAUCGCUCAACGGAUAAAAGGUACUCCGGGGAUAACAGGCUGAUACCGCCCAAGAGUUCAUAUCGACGGCGGUGUUUGGCACCUCGAUGUCGGCUCAUCACAUCCUGGGGCUGUAGUCGGUCCCAAGGGUAUGGCUGUUCGCCAUUUAAAGUGGUACGCGAGCUGGGUUCAGAACGUCGUGAGACAGUUCGGUCCCUAUCUGCCAUGGGCGUUGGAGAUUUGAGAGGGGCUGCUCCUAGUACGAGAGGACCGGAGUGGACGAACCUCUGGUGUUCCGGUUGUCACGCCAGUGGCAUUGCCGGGUAGCUAUGUUCGGAAGCGAUAACCGCUGAAAGCAUCUAAGCGGGAAGCGCGCCUCAAGAUGAGAUCUCCCGGGGCACAAGCCCCCUGAAGGAACCAUGUAGACUACGUGGUUGAUAGGUCAGGUGUGUAAGUACAGCAAUGUAUUGAGCUAACUGAUACUAAUGAUCCGAGAGGCUUGACCAU